rnacentral:pre_miRNA from 1 species
ACAAUACUCCCUCCGUCCGAAAAUACUUGUCAUUAAAAUGGAUAAAAAGAGAUGUAUCUAGAACUAAAAUACGUCUAGAUGCAUCCCCUUUUAUUCAUUUCGAUGACAAGUAUUUUCGGACGGAGGGAGUACAAA